UAGCAUGAAGUCAGACAAGAGA
rnacentral:rRNA from 2 species